rnacentral:rRNA from 1 species
GCGCACCAGGCGCGAAUACUUUACAAUGUGCGAAAGCACGAUAAGGGAACUCUGAGUGCCUCCUAAGGAGGCUGUUCAGGUGUCUAAAAGCACCUGAAGGAAGGGCUGGGUAAGACCGGUGCCAGCCGCCGCGGUAACACCGGCAGCCCAAGUGGUAGCCACGUUUAUUGGGUCUAAAGCGUCCGUAGCCGGCUGGGUAAGUUCCUUGGGAAAUUUGGCUGCUUAACAGUCAAGCUUUCAGGGAAUACUGCUCGGCUUGGGACCGGGAGAGGUCAGAGGUACUCCAGGGGUAGGGUGAAAUCCAUUAAUCCUUGGGGGACCACCGGUAGCGAAGGCGUCUGACCAGACCGGGUCCGACGGUGAGGGACGAAGGCUAGGGGCGCGAACCGGAUUAGAUACCCGCGUAGU